rnacentral:rRNA from 1 species
GAUGAACGCUGGCGGCGUGCCUAAUACAUGCAAGUCGAGCGAACAGACGAGGAGCUUGCUCCUCUGACGUUAGCGGCGGACGGGUGAGUAACACGUGGAUAACCUACCUAUAAGACUGGGAUAACUUCGGGAAACCGGAGCUAAUACCGGAUAAUAUAUUGAACCGCAUGGUUCAAUAGUGAAAGACGGUUUUGCUGUCACUUAUAGAUGGAUCCGCGCCGCAUUAGCUAGUUGGUAAGGUAACGGCUUACCAAGGCAACGAUGCGUAGCCGACCUGAGAGGGGUAUCGGCCACCCGGGAUGGGAGACGCUGCAGAGGCCUCUACGGGGGGCAAGAGGGGGGAAUCUUCCGCAAGGGGGGAAAGCCUAACGGGGCACCGCCGGGUGAGGAAAAAAGGUCGUGGGAUGGAAAACCUCUUUUUGGAGGAAAAAAAAAAUGUGUAGGUAACUAGCCGCUUUUGGGCGGACCCAAAAAAAAAAGCCGGGGCAAACUGCG